AGAGUUUGAUCAUGGCUCAGAGUGAACGCUGGCGGCAGGCCUAAUACAUGCAAGUCGAACGGCGGCACGGCAGAGCUUGCUCUGUGGGUGGCGAGUGGCGGACGGGUGAGGAAUACAUGGGAAUCUGCCCAGUCGUGGGGGAUAACGUAGGGAAACUUACGCUAAUACCGCAUGCGCCCUUCGGGGGAAAGCCGGGGACCUUCGGGCCUGGCGCGAUUGGAUGAGCCCAUGUCGGAUUAGCUAGUUGGCGGGGUAAUGGCCCACCAAGGCGACGAUCCGUAGCUGGUCUGAGAGGAUGAUCAGCCACACUGGAACUGAGACACGGUCCAGACUCCUACGGGAGGCAGCAGUAGGGAAUAUUGGACAAUGGGCGCAAGCCUGAUCCAGCCAUGCCGCGUGAGUGAAGAAGGCCCUCGGGUUGUAAAGCUCUUUUGUCCGGAAAGAAAAGCGCCGGGUUAAUACCCUGGUGUCCUGACGGUACCGGAAGAAUAAGCACCGGCUAACUUCGUG
rnacentral:rRNA from 1 species